AUUGAACGCUGGCGGCAUGCUUUACACAUGCAAGUCGAACGGGGUGAAGGGGCAACUCUUCAUUCAGUGGCGAACGGGUGAGUAAUACAUCGGAACGUACCCCGUAGUGGGGGAUAACUCGGCGAAAGCCGUGCUAAUACCGCAUAUGCUCUACGGAGGAAAGCAGGGGACCGCAAGGCCUUGUGCUAUGGGAGCGGCCGAUGUCCGAUUAGCUUGUUGGUGAGGUAAGGCUCACCAAGGCGACGAUCGGUAGCUGGUCUGAGAGGAUGAUCAGCCACACUGGGACUGAGACACGGCCCAGACUCCUACGGAGGCAGCAGUGGGGAAUUUUGGACAAUGGGGGCAACCCUGAUCCAGCCAUGCCGCGUGCGGGAAGAAGG
rnacentral:rRNA from 1 species